rnacentral:rRNA from 1 species
AUUGAACGCUGGCGGCAUGCCUUACACAUGCAAGUCGAACGGCAGCACGGGUGCUUGCACCUGGUGGCGAGUGGCGAACGGGUGAGUAAUACAUCGGAACAUGUCCUGUAGUGGAGGAUAGCCCGGCGAAAGCCGGAUUAAUACCGCAUACGAUCUACGGAUGAAAGCGGGGGACCUUCGGGCCUCGCGCUAUAGGGUUGGCCGAUGGCUGAUUAGCUAGUUGGUGGGGUAAAGGCCUACCAAGGCGACGAUCAGUAGCUGGUCUGAGAGGACGACCAGCCACACUGGGACUGAGACACGGCCCAGACUCCUACGGGAGGCAGCAGUGGGGAAUUUUGGACAAUGGGCGAAAGCCUGAUCCAGCAAUGCCGCGUGUGUGAAGAAGGCCUUCGGGUUGUAAAGCACUUUUGUCCGGAAAGAAAUCCUUGGCCCUAAUACGGUCGGGGGAUGACGGUACCGGAAGAAUAAGCACCGGCUAACUACGUG